CUAGGAGCUCUCACAGCCAUUUAGUAUCCUAAGCCGUUCGAUCUAACCAUCUAAUGGUCUACAACUACACAGUAUUACCGAAUAGUCCUCUUCCUUCAUUCCAUCCCGUCAAAGGCCAGUGCUGCCUCAUUUUGACAUAUCGAGCGCGUCACGGCCUGCCAACAUGACUGGGCUGCUUCUCUGGAAACUGACUUGGACGCCUUUCCGUUGACCGGGCCGAAAUUAGAGAUUGAUGGGCCUAUACGGUUGCCUCCUCCUCAUUACUUUUGCUUGCAAUUGUAGUCCAGUAGGGACUCGGGAAGACGGAGCGGUCGCAGAGAGAGGCCAUGGCGGCGCCGCCGCCAUUAUUGCGCGAUUGAUGCUAUUGCAGACGAGCCAAAUUUUAUGUUUCCUUUCUCUCCGCUGGUCAUGGUGGACGCGCGUUUUAUGCCUGUACCUCCUCUGCUGGUUCUUCAAUCCUCAUACGACAGCGACUGUCCCACGGCGGCGACACCCAACUGCUAGCGUUUCGGGAUGGCUACAGUGAGCGGCCACAGAUCCAUGGGGCCGCCUCUCUUCGGGCUCAUUGGCCGCCAUGAUGCCCGGCUACCUUCCGGCGGUAAGCUUUUGGGCAACGCCCCUGAAUAACAAGUGCUUAAUAUCAUGAAUGUGAUUUGUUCACCUCCCGUCAGAUUAUUCACUUAUUGAUUUGUCUUCUCGUCGGGUACCGGAGUCAGUUUUUGUAUGGGGGCGGAGAAGGGAGAAGGAGGCGUAAAUGGUGGCGGCAGCAGGGUAGGGCACGACCAGCGACGACUGGACGGCUUGUUCAUGCAGAUGACAGGUGCGUCCCAUUCUGCCUUACAUCUCCACGAGAUCUGUACGAUUUUUGGCUUUGAAGCAUCUUGGUGGUGUUAUGUUAGAUCUAAUUAUAUCUCUGGAUCCAAUUCUUGGCCUAAUAUUGCAGUUUGUAUUGAUUUAUUUUAGGAGCUACUCCUGAUAAAUAUUACGGUGCUGCACACAGUUUCUUGAUGUAUACAUCUUGUUGUCUAUGCAAUGAACCGAGCUUUCAGUUGCGUAGGAUAAACAAACUGUGUGCUUGUUAUUCUUAUAAUGCAGUUAUUGGUUCCUGGGUCUACACAAUUUCAGACCAAAUGCAGGCCUUGCAAACCAUGAAUGUGAUAGUUGGUUUGCAGUCCAAGAGUUCCAGUCUGUCUAUUCCAAACUUCGUUAUUGGAAUGUUGUGUGUCAAGUUCUCUUUAAUAACAAAACAUACAACUGAUGUAAUGCUAUGAAUAUAUAUCAUAUUGAAGGAAAUCUCUCCGCAUGAUGAUUUAUUCAAGUGCCUUUUUCUUGUAAUUGGCCAAUGCAGCCAAGAUGUGCUCAUCCGUUAUGGUAAUUCCUACAUCUGUAUGGCAUCUUGUAAUAAAUUCUCGAAAUUCUCAGCCCAGAAAAUACUCAUGUAACCAUGUAUGCAGGUGCCCUGUAGAGUACCACCCAUAUCCUGUUUACAGUAAUGAUUUAGAAGAUAUAGUUUGACUAUGACAAGCUAGCUUGCACAAAUCUUAUUAUGGAUAUUUUAUUCUGUGUUCGAAUAUAAUAUUUUUUCUACCAUAUUAGUUAGCUGUUGCAUGAAACAAAUCAUAUGAAUUAUCCUCAUGUUGAGACUGCAAAGAGGUUAAGCUUAGGUACCCUGGGCUUAGCACAUACUCCAUUCUUAUUUUUUACAUGCCAUUUGAUUACUGCAGGUAGGUGUACAAUCAACAUUUUUUUGUUAUCUCGGUUAUUUUCUAUUCCCACUUAAUACUUUGACUGCUUCUGUAUUUGGUUACUUAACCUUUUUUAGCCUUUUGGGGUAUACAGAGGAUCUGUAGCUGCAUAGAUGCCAGGUUUUACUCCCUGUUAUCUAAACUGUCUCCUCCAUAUUCAAAUGAAUUUCUUGCAAAUAUGUGAUUGCUGGAAAAUAUUCAUUUCUAAUUUGUUCUUGCUUCAGUUUAUGACCAUGAAAAGGUUCACUACUGUGAUACUCUGUCGGAAGGAUUACCCUUAGGCUUUUCCAGAUUGGUAUUUUAGUAGAUUUUUCUCAAAUAAGUUUUUAUGUAUAUGAAGUGGUUAUAGCAGCCUUGAAGGGAACAUAAUGAAAAUAAUAAUAAAAUCUUAUGAAAAAAUGAUGUUAGAAAGAAUAUAUACAAUGUACUACAAUAUGACAAUGGGUUUAAGGAGUUAUUUGCAUUGCUUCUCUAUGUAAACUUAAUAAAUGUUACUGACUUGAUUGCAUUGCUUCUGUCAGAAUCUCAUUACGAUGCUUAUUGUUUAUUCAACUUCUGUUGGUUCCCCCCAGGAUACUAUAACAACCUCCAACGACUUGAGGUAAGAACUUUGCAUCUAUUUCUACCAGUGGGAAAUCUUAUACCUGGGAUGAUUUCUAAUCAUGCUUUAGUACUUUGAUGUGUAUCAAGCACAAAUUUUAGCAUUAUUUUUUCAAUCUAUUUUAUACAUACACUAGAAGCAUGUAAGUGCUGAUUCGGAAAUUCUGCUAAUUCGCCAAAGUCUAUGGAUACCACGCCGUGUUGGCGGCCAUCGGUUUAUUAACUCCUGCAGUGCUAUUAGUUUAUGGGCGCAGAAGAUGCAAAUCUGGGACCAGCGACUUUGAUCGACCAGUGUUGCUCCACCCUUGCAAGAUAGAUUCACCAGACAACCUUUGAUUACUUACUGUCCGCGUGAAGCUAAUUUGUAACUCACAAUGGAAUUGUCGAAUUGCUCUAUUCGUACUGGAUUUGGCAUGAUGGCUUGAAGGUAGGCUGUAGCGGCAGGAUCAGGGGAUGUGUGUGGAGUUGUGGACACCUCUAGCUUUGGCGCUCCAGCGUUCAUGCCUCCAGGGGAAACUGAUGCAGGUCAAACGCCAGAUCCAGUUCAUCGCCUCGCCAUGAUUAGGGUAAAGCAACAACCACACAUCUAUUCUUAGUUGCGAAUUUCGAGUUUUUGGGGUUUCAAUCCAUUGGUUCCUGUUGGGGUUUGGCAGGAGAAGGUGCCUGCAGACAUGAGGCCAUUGUUGGGGCACACAUGAGAAAUGUUCUAGCUUUGACGGGACGGCAUACAGAUUACGCUGUAGACCAUGUUGAUCUGGCUUGAAAAGUAGUGUUGCAGCUCUCUUUCUUGAGUCUGUAGUUCUACAGGAGUUUAUCUGGCAUAUAGCUAGAAGUUUAUUUUGCAGUACAUAGCAAAUUGAAGCUGUUGGGUUGCUAUUGUAUAACAGUAGCUGAUGUUUGAUUGAUGGGUUGUGCUGCUUGGAGUAGUUUACCAUGUUACAUAAAUGGUACAUUGAUUGAGCCAUCUGGGCAGUCUUUUACAUUUGCUUAUCUUAAAACAACAUAGAGUGGAGCUUCAUGCUGGGCAAUAAUGUAGGAGAUAGAAUAAACCUGUCAGCUGAGUCCAUAUACUAUUUUCUUUUACACUCAAAAAUGAUCUCAGGACCGGAUAAAAAUAAUGGUGUUCAAUCUUUCAUCUGACGUUUUUCUUUGGCUUCAGCCUUCAGGUUGUCCCAUAAUAUGUGAUUUAACUGGAGUUAGAAGUAAAUUUGUAUAUACUAAAGACGUGGCUUAUUUUCCUUGAAAUUGAUACUUUGGUGAGAACAAAAUACUGGAGGCCAUCAUCAUAUCAAUAUGGGUAAGCAUACAUAUUCGCUUUUUACUGACUUUUGUUCUUUGUUUUAAAAUUUUGUUUUCUGAAAUCUAGCUGCCUACAAACAUGAUUCAUUAUUGAAC